ACCACUAUCCUGUGACUGUUUUCCAAUGGCGUCCGGAGAGAAAUGCUUUUGAAUGGGGGUUACAGAUGAUUCCGCACUCACUGAAGAUGCCACUCAAGUGACUCAGCAAAUUGCAAACUGUUUGGUCAGGACGUCAGGUUGGGCCUUAUCUUAUCCUUUAAGUGAAUUACUAUGUUCAACAUCGAGAUGUUGCAACUCUCUGUAGGAAGGGGGAAGCCAUAUGCAACAAUUAUCGGAAGAUGUUGAAAUAUAGGUUUAGAAAAGUCAAUAGGUUGUUGAUCGAGUUCAAACUGAAUAUGUUCCAGAGCAAUAGCCGAGUUAAACAAUGACAUUUAUCCAGAUUUCAAGCAAAUCUUCAAAAAAUUCAUUCAAGGACGCGCCUGGUAUUGGGGAGGGAAAAAAAAAUGAUGUAUCCAUCAUACUCAACAAGACUCGAAUUCAGAAGAGGAUCGAUGAUCAACAAAAACAAGAAUAGUGUUUCAAACAAGAAGAAAUAGCGAAUGAAGAUGAGCAUUGCGCCACUGAAACAUGUGUGCAAGGCCUGAUGUUGAGGUAUGAGACACAACUGCAGAUGAUCCUAAGUUGCUGGUGUUUCUGAAAGCAUACUGGAACACUGUACCGGUGCCAAGGUAAUGAAGGCAUUGCAGCCAGAAGAGAAAUUACUUGCAGGAAAAGGAAGAUAUGAUCCUCCACCAUCAUAUCCAAAUCUGAAAAUCCUGGGGCUAAAUGCUCCUAUCCCCGGGGAAGCUAACUUUGGUUACCAUCCGGGGGGCUGGGGAAAGCCUCCUUUUAAUGAAUCGGGCCUGAUCAUGAGGAAGAGCCGGUUGGGGUGAGUUGGAGAAAAAGAAGAGGAGGAAGGAGAGGAAGAGAAACAGAAAGAUUAGAGGAUGAUAUGGAAAUUGUAGAUAGCUUUUCAGGUGGUGGAACUGAUCGGACAAUACCUGACGUGGAAGCAGAGAAAAGAAACAGGUGAAAGGCUUUUGUACCAAGUACUUGAAGAGAAGGAAGAAAUAAUUGCUG